AAUUGCCAACUAUUAGUUAUCCACACAUUGUAUGCCAAUUCUGUUGAUUGCUUUAGAAACAGCAAGUGAAUAGUCCAGUCGUCGGGGGUAGCUUCUUGGAGUUUCCUGUGUAGAGAAAUUUAAAGAAUAAUUUUUAGGGUGGCAAAUAGUAUUACAUAUGGUAGAUAGAGAGAUAUAAUUGAUAGGGUCUCACUGUUAGGAUCAAGAUUAUAACUCCAACAGGCAGGAAAUAUUAAAAUAAACCAGCACAAAACAAGCCAGGCAGCAUUUUAUCCUCUAGAAAAUACUGGGACACACUUAAUAAAGUUUAGGUGGUAAUAGAAGUAAUUAGCAUGGGAAAUUGUUUAUACAGCUAUUUAGAUUUUAUGUUGGCCUUUAACAGUUUGAAUAUUUAUAGGCUUUUCUGCAAUUAAGUUAUAAAAUUUGAAAGAUAAGAAUGUCCUGAGAGAAGCCAGCAUUUAUUGAUUUUCAUUUUGUAAAAGUCACCCCACUGCCCAGGAAAUUCCUCUUAAUUCAUUUAAAUAAGUUCCUCUUGGUGUCUUACAUAUGGCAUCAUGUGAAAAACUUGCAUUUUUAUGUGUUUUUAUCAACAUUUGUAUUGGCAAACUUAGUAAUAUAAAUGUUAUCUAAAUAGGAAACCAUACGUUCUCACAGUAGAUUUACAUCUUUUAUAAAGGCAUUAGUAAUUUUAUAAAUAUAUGCAAUGAAGUAUGAUCAUAUCCACCCUAAAAUUUCCCUCUCUAACCCUGCCCAGAUAUCCCCCAACAUUUCUCACUCUCAAUUUCAUGAAAUCAUAUUUCUAUUUUAAUAAGCCACUAGGUCCAUUUAAUGCUUUCCUUACAGGCAUGUGUGUGGAUUCAUCCGCCCGAGCAUGAGCAACCUACUGGGGAUCGCCCGCCCAUAGAAAGCCACCUUUCCUUCCCCCAGCAGCUAUCAACUGCCAUUAUCUCCUUGGUUAGGGGUGGGGUCUCAUAAGCUCCUCCCAAAUCCAUGCUGUAAUUAUGUUAUGCUAUUCAUUUUGCAUUAUGAGAUUUAUUUAUUUAUUUAUUUAUUUAUUUAUUUACAGCUAAAUAUCAGCCCUUCUUCUCCUCCCAGUACCCUUUCAUGUAAGUCCUCCCCCCAUUCCCCUUAGAAGGGGACGCCCCCGGUGUCAACCCCCCCCCCAUACUAUUCUAACAUGAAUGAUGACACCUGUCAGGACACUUUCCUGAGAAAGAGGCUAGAAGCGUUUUGCUUUUAAAACUAGAAACAUUAAGUCUUGUAUCAUAAAACCUUGUAAAGUUAAAGACAAAUACAGUGUCCAUCUGUCCUUUAUACUACAAGGUGUAGAAUGAAUUCUGCCAAUGGUUCACUUUCCUUGGCAGGGAGAGCAAUGUGUGAUCAGGAUGAGGUGUGAGUCCCUCUAGAGCAUGAAGUCUUCUCCCAGGAAAUAGCCAGUUGUAGGAGUGAGCAUAAGAGACUGGCUCAACGAUCAGAAAACAAAAUUUAGAAUGUAUUUUCAUUCAGUAGUAAUGAUACCUAUUUUUUCAAGGAACAUGUAAAAAUACAUAAAAAAAUAAAAUGAAGAACAAGACCAGCUUAAUUACAAGGGCAGUUCUUUAUACUGGUAGCUGAAGACUUGAAACAAAAUAUUAUAGAAAAUGCAUAGAAUAUAGAGGUGCCUCAGAGGGUAAAAGCAUCUGUCACCAAGCCUGAGGAUUUGAGUUUAAAUCUCUGGGGUCCAGAUAGUGGAAAGAAAGAAGUUACUCUUACAACUUCUCCACAUGCAUGCAUGGUGCACAUAUACAUACACAGCAAAAUUAAAUAAUUAAAAAAAACCGAAAAUGCAUACAUUCUAUGUGACGUGACAAAGGUAAGGUAAAAUGUGAAUUACUUAAGUAAAUAAGUAGUUAAACUAGACCCAUAUGCUUCUACAAGGCCACAAUACUGGUCAAGUAAAACACUGUUACAUGAGAAGACUGGCAUCAGUAAACACCAGUCCCUGACCACCUUUGCUUCUCUCUUGAUGCUAAUAAGUUAUGAUGCGCCUCCAUUCAGGAGCUUUCUAUACAUAGGAUUUAGAAGCUGAUGCCCAGGAGAUUUUGCUGGUUCUUGCUUAGCUGCUAUGCCCCUGCCUGCCAGAGAUCAUUGUCCUCCAUUGCCAGUCGAGGGUGCCUAGGGUUUCGUGAGGCAUUUAGUGGGUAGGAGUACAAGUCAAUACCUUCACCAAGUGCCACCACUACUCAGUGGUGCUGGGAUUUGUUUCUACAUAUGUUGAACCCCACCCCCCACAAAUGACUGCAUAACAGAGUAUGCUGCAUUUAUUUCAUCUGUAGAAUGAUAAGUAGCCCAAGGAUUGAAUGCAAAUGUAUGUAUAUCACAUGUACUAGAGCACACGCAAUAGCCAAGAUCAUGAAUAGAUAAGAGUGCUAUUAUUUAUUUGCCAUCAAUUAUUGAUGAGAUCAGGGGGCUUUCAAUCUUGUUAAAGUAAAGCUAUUUGAUUUAGGUUGUGAAAAGUGUAUGGUAUGUAAUAAACGGGCAAGCAAUGAACUCCGAUGCUAUUAUUUGGGACUGCAUAAAUCUACAGAACCAUCUAGAGACUCACAUGAAUCAGUGCUAAUGCCAAGGCCUUAUAAAUCACAAGACUUACGGUACCUAAAGAUGCUACAUCAUCAGUCUAUUCUUCAGUUUUCCUUUCACCCAGUUACACCUAUCUCCCAUGUUUAGGGCUUUUUAAGGAUUUUGUGAGUUCCCAUGGAAACCUGAGUCAGGAAUGCGGCAUAACAAUUCACGGAUUCUGAAGGGCUUGUCUAUUUUACCUGGGUCACCUGUUUCAGGUAGACAAUGAACUUCUCUGGAACAGCACCCUUCCUUUGCUUUCUUGAGAACUAAAAAUCCAGAGCAAAAAAAGAGUCAGCAGAAGACUGUCUAGAUGACAGAAAGGCCAGCCACUAUGCAAUUAUUCGAGAGGAAGCUCCCAUUUUUACUGCAAUCUAUUGUUUUAUGAUCAGAUAGACAAUUUUGUUUAUAAUGGUGAAGUCCCCACUUUAAAAACAACAAGCAAAAACCAGGACAUUCCCCACACUAACUAGCAGAGAAGUGGACCACUCUUUCCCUGAAUAGAAGAUGUGAAUAAGAAUGGAUAUAGAAGAACCUACUAGAUAAAAAUGAAAAGUAAAGAAUAAAAGUCCCAGACAUCAGUCAAUAUAUCUCUGAUGACUACUGUGUUACUAGUGACAGGGACAGAUUUUUCUGGAAUUUUAGAUCUGUUAUACAAGAAACAGUAAAAUUGUACUAUUCUCUCUCUCUCUCUCUCUCUCUCUCUCUCUCUCUCUCUCUCUCUCUCUCUCUCUCUCUCUC